CAGUAGCCGCGGUAAUACGGAGGGUGCAAGCGUUAAUCGGAAUUACUGGGCGUAAAGCGCACGCAGGCGGUCUGACAAGUCAGAUGUGAAAUCCCCGGGCUUAACCUGGGAACUGCAUUUGAAACUGUCAGGCUGGAGUCUUGUAGAGGGGGGUGGAAUUCCAGGUGUAGCGGUGAAAUGCGUAGAGAUCUGGAGGAAUACCGGUGGCGAAGGCGGCCCCCUGGACAAAGACUGACGCUCAGGUGCGAAAGCGUGGGGAGCAAACAGGAUUAGAGACCCGCGUAGUCCCUGUCUCUUAUAC
rnacentral:rRNA from 1 species